UACGUAGGGUGCGAGCGUUGUCCGGAUUUAUUGGGCGUAAAGAGCUCGUAGGUGGUUUGUCGCGUUGUUCGUGAAAACUCACAGCUUAACUGUGGGCGUGCGGGCGAUACGGGCAGACUGGAGUACUGCAGGGGAGACUGGAAUUCCUGGUGUAGCGGUGGAAUGCGCAGAUAUCAGGAGGAACACCGGUGGCGAAGGCGGGUCUCUGGGCAGUAACUGACGCUGAGGAGCGAAAGCGUGGGGAGCGAACAGG
rnacentral:rRNA from 1 species